UGAGGAAUAUUGGUCAAUGGACGCAAGUCUGAACCAGCCAAGUCGCGUGAAGGAAGACUGCCCUAUGGGUUGUAAACUUCUUUUGUAAGGGAAUAAAAGAGAGUACGUGUACUUUAUUGCAAGUACCUUACGAAUAAGCAUCGGCUAACUCCGUGCCAGCAGCCGCGGUAAUACGGAGGAUGCGAGCGUUAUCCGGAUUUAUUGGGUUUAAAGGGUGCGUAGGCGGUUUCUUAAGUCAGUGGUGAAAUCUAGUUGCUCAACAACUAAAUUGCCAUCGAAACUGGGGAACUUGAGUACAGACGAGGUAGGCGGAAUGUGUAGUGUAGCGGUGAAAUGCUUAGAUAUUACACAGAACACCGAUAGCGAAGGCAGCUUACUGGUAUGUAACUGACGCUGAGGCACGAAAGCGUGGGGAUCGAACA
rnacentral:rRNA from 1 species